rnacentral:misc_RNA from 1 species
ACCUGCUUGUCCUCAGCCAUUGGCCACCCUAAGAAAUAUGGAGAGAUACAAUUUCAACUUCUCUCUUUUUUCUCCCUUUAUUCUUCUCUUGACCCUUUUCACAUGCAAUCCAACUGCUACUUCUCAAAACUCGACUUCAGGAGAUGGUUUGUGUGGUUCUGUUUUCUGUGGGCUAGGGACAUGCAAGAGUAUUAGCACAUGGCCUGGUUUUGAGUGUGACUGCUAUUCUGGUUGGAACAAGAUUCAGAUUGGUCCAUUGACCUUUCCCUCUUGCCUAAUUCCCAAUUGCACAAUUGAUUUACAAUGUGGUAAUGGAUCUCCACCACCACCUCCUCCAUCAGUUCCUAGCCCUCCACCUUCACUAAAUUUAUCAAACCCUUGUAACUUAAUUUGGUGUGCCGAUGGAUCCUGCUUGCCUAAUGGAAGAGGACACACUUGCCAGUGCAAUGAAGGCUCAUCAAAUUUAGCCAAUAAUACAGAGUUACCCUGUUUUGAACAAUGCUACUUUGGAGCAGAUUGCAAUAGCCUUGGGUUUGGUCCCCCAGCUUCAUCGCCACCAACACCACCAUCAGGUUCUUCAGAAAUGUCAAAUUCCUUGAGAAGUGUUGGUGUUCUAACCAUGAUAUUAUUAGCAGCAACUUCCCUAGCAUUGUUUUAGAGAAAAAUACACCAAGAUCAUUGGAACAUCAACAAAGGAAUGCUCGUCAUAAAUUCUUUACUCACAAAAAUAG